CCAUUGCAUCUGACAAACUGGGAAGAGAAUUUAUCUUCUGUUCCAUUCCUCUUUGUUAAGGAUUGUCAGCAGAUCGCACCUAAAUACACCACUACAGGGAACAGAUUACCUGACCCCUGGAGAUGUUUUAGUGUAGCAGAGCCAUAGACACGAGAAAAGCAUGGAUAUAUGGCCCUAGAACACUCUGACGGCUUAAAAGCAGAAGGAUUCUCUGUUGGCUUUGUAUCAAAAGGCUACUGAAGGAAUUGCUGUUGUGUAGCUGCAUAUAAUGAUGUGUAUUAAGUGUAUGCCCUCUGCAAAGUUCUCUACAAUACUGCCUAUGGAUGGUCCAAAAAUGUUCCUGCUUGAAGAGGUACCCUUGCAUUUCGAAAGUGCAGCUCUAUCAAGGCUACACUGUGAAAGAGAAGACUGGAAAUGCUCCCAGCAGCCUUUCAAACAACUGCAUGCUUGUUUCUGCAAAACUUCCUGUGAGUAUCAGGUAUGGGAAGAAAGUCCCUUGAUGACCAUGUAAGUGAAGCAGAUUAGUUUUUGGUUUGCUAUAAACUAUGGAAACUCCUAAGCGGUAUUUGCAUAUCUAUG